rnacentral:rRNA from 1 species
GACGAACGCUGGCGGCGUGCUUAACACAUGCAAGUCGAACGGAAAGGCCCUGCUUUUGUGGGGUGCUCGAGUGGCGAACGGGUGAGUAAUACGUGAGUAACCUGCCCUUGACUUUGGGAUAACUUCAGGAAACUGGGGCUAAUACCGGAUAGGAGCUCCUGCUGCAUGGUGGGGGCUGGAAAGUUUCGGCGGUUGGGGAUGGACUCGCGGCUUAUCAGCUUGUUGGUGGGGUAGUGGCUUACCAAGGCUUUGACGGGUAGCCGGCCUGAGAGGGUGACCGGCCACAUUGGGACUGAGAUACGGCCCAGACUCCUACGGGAGGCAGCAGUGGGGAAUAUUGCACAAUGGGCGGAAGCCUGAUGCAGCAACGCCGCGUGCGGGAUGACGGCCUUCGGGUUGUAAACCGCUUUCGCCUGUGACGAAGCGUGAGUGACGGUAAUGGGUAAAGAAGCACCGGCUAACUACGUG